UACGUAGGGGGCAAGCGUUGUCCGGAAUCAUUGGGCGUAAAGAGCGUGUAGGCGGUCCGGUAAGUCGGCUGUGAAAGUCCAGGGCUCAACCCUGGGAUGCCGGUCGAUACUGCCGGACUAGAGUUCGGAAGAGGCGAGUGGAAUUCCUGGUGUAGCGGUGAAAUGCGCAGAUAUCCGAAGGAACAUCAGUGGCGAAAGCGGCUUCCUGGACCAGAACUGACGAUCAGGCACGAAAGCGUGGGGAGCAAACAGG
rnacentral:rRNA from 1 species